rnacentral:rRNA from 1 species
UAGGGAAUCUUCGGCAAUGGACGAAAGUCUGACCGAGCAACGCCGCGUGAGUGAAGAAGGUUUUCGGAUCGUAAAACUUUGUUGUUAGAGAAGAACAAGGACGUUAGUAACUGAACGUCCCCUGACGGUAUCUAACCAGAAAGCCACGGCUAACUACGUGCCAGCAGCCGCGGUAAUACGUAGGUGGCAAGCGUUGUCCGGAUUUAUUGGGCGUAAAGCGAGCGCAGGCGGUUUCUUAAGUCUGAUGUGAAAGCCCCCGGCUCAACCGGGGAGGGUCAUUGGAAACUGGGAGACUUGAGUACAGAAGAGGAGAGUGGAAUUCCAUGUGUAGCGGUGAAAUGCGUAGAUAUAUGGAGGAACACCAGUGGCGAAGGCGGCCCCCUGGACAAAGACUGACGCUCAGGUGCGAAAGCGUGGGGAGCAAACAAG